rnacentral:rRNA from 1 species
AAAAGGUGGCUAUGCUACCGCUUUUGGAUGGGCCCGCGGCGCAUUAGCUAGUUGGUGGGGUAAAGGCUUACCAAGGCAAUGAUGCGUAGCCGAACUGAGAGGUUGAUCGGCCACAUUGGGACUGAGACACGGCCCAAACUCCUACGGGAGGCAGCAGUAGGGAAUCUUCCACAAUGGGCGAAAGCCUGAUGGAGCAACGCCGCGUGGGUGAAGAAGGUCUUCGGAUCGUAAAACCCUGUUGUUAGAGAAGAAAGUGCGUGAGAGUAACUGUUCACGUUUCGACGGUAUCUAACCAGAAAGCCACGGCUAACUACGUGCCAGCAGCCGCGGUAAUACGUAGGUGGCAAGCGUUAUCCGGAUCUAUUGGGCGUAAAGGGAACGCAGGCGGUCUUUUAAGUCUGAUGUGAAAGCCUUCGGCUUAACCGGAGUAGUGCAUUGGAAACUGGGAGACUUGAGUGCAGAAGAGGAGAGUGGAACUCCAUGUGUAGCGGUGAAAUGCGUAGAUAUAUGGAAGAACACCAGUGGCGAAAGCGGCUCUCUGGUCUGUAACUGACGCUGAGGUUCGAAAGCGUGGGUAGCAAACAGGAUUAGAUACCCUGGUAGUCCACGCCGUAAACGAUGAAUGCUAAGUGUUGGAGGGUUUCCGCCCUUCA